UACAGAGGUGGCAAGCGUUGUUCGGAAUUACUGGGCGUAAAGGGCGCGUAGGCGGUUCGUUAAGUCCUGUGUGAAAUCCCCCGGCUCAACUGGGGAACUGCACAGGAAACUAGCGGGCUUGAGUUCGGGAGAGGGAAGCGGAAUUCCGGGUGUAGCGGUGAAAUGCGUAGAUAUCCGGAGGAACACUGGUGGCGAAGGCGGCUUCCUGGACCGACACUGACGCUGAGGCGCGAAAGCUAGGGGAGCAAACGGG
rnacentral:rRNA from 1 species